rnacentral:ncRNA from 1 species
CAAAAGCUUGGUCCUGACUUUACUGUCAACUUUGAUUAAAUUUAUACAUGCAAGUCUCCGCACCCCUGUGAGAAUGCCCUACCUAUCCCCACCCGGAGAAGAGGAGCCGGCAUCAGGAGAAACCCCGGGUUGACCCACGACGCCUUGCUUAGCCACACCCUCAAGGGAAUCCAGCAGUAAUAAAUAUUAAGAAAUAAGUGCAAACUUGACUUAGUUACUAUCAAGUAGGGCUGGUAAACCUCGUGCCAGCCACCGCGGUUAUACGAGGGGCCCAAGUUGACGAAAACCGGCGUAAAGCGUGGUUAAUGAUACACACACUAAAGCCAAAUACCCUCCUGGCUGUUAUACGCACCCGAGAGUAAGAGGAACUUUCACGAAAGUAGCUUUAAUAAACAUGACCCCACGAGAGCUAGGGAACAAACCGGGAUUAGAUACCCCAUUAUGCCUAGCUGUAAACAUAAGUGACACUUCACCCCGUCAUUCGCCCGGGAACAACGAGCUUUAGCUAAAACCCAAAGGACUUGGCGGUGCUUUAGACCCCCCUAGAGGAGCCUGUUCUAGAAUCGAUUCUCCCCGUUCAACCUCACCCCCUCUUGUUUGUCCCGCCUAUAUACCGCCGUCGUCAGCUUACCCCGUGAGGGUCAAAUAGUAAGCACAAUUGGCAUAGCCCAAAAAGUCAGGUCAAGGUGUAGCGUAUGAGGUGGGAAGAAAUGGGCUACAUUUGCUGAUUCAGCAAACACGGAUGUUGCACUGAAAUAAGCAUCUGAAGGAGGAUUUAGUAGUAAGGGGGAAGCAGCGAGCCCCCCUGAAACCGGCCCUGAAGCGCGCACACACCGCCCGUCACUCUCCCCGAUGAACCCAAUACAAUAAAUAAUGAAAUCGCAAACACUAUAGGGGAGAUAAGUCGUAACAUGGUAAGUGUACCGGAAGGUGUGCUUGGAUCAAACCC